rnacentral:SRP_RNA from 1 species
GCCAGGCAUGGGGCACAUGUUUGUAGUCCCAGCUACUCGGGAGGCUGAGGCAGGAGGAUCUCUUGAGCCCAGGAGUUCUGGACUGUUGUGUGCUAUGCCCAUCCAGUAUCCGCACUAAGUUCAGCAACUAUACAGUGACCUCCUGGGAGCGGGGGACCACCUGGUUGCCUAAGGAAGGGCGAACUGGCCCAAAUUAGAAAGGGAGCAGGUCAAAACUUCCGUGAUGAUCAGUAGUAGGACAGUGCCUAUGAGUAACCACUGCACUCCAGCUAGGGCAACACAGCAAGACACUGUCUCU